rnacentral:rRNA from 1 species
AGAGUUUGAUCCUGGCUCAGGACGAACGCUGGCGGCGUGCUUAACACAUGCAAGUCGAACGGAAAGGCCCUUUCGGGGGUACUCGAGUGGCGAACGGGUGAGUAACACGUGGGUGAUCUGCCCUGCACUUUGGGAUAAGCCUGGGAAACUGGGUCUAAUACCGAAUAGGACCGCAUGCUUCAUGGUGUGUGGUGGAAAGCUUUUGCGGUGUGGGAUGGGCCCGCGGCCUAUCAGCUUGUUGGUGGGGUAAUGGCCUACCAAGGCGACGACGGGUAGCCGGCCUGAGAGGGUGUCAGGCCACACUGGGACUGAGAUACGGCCCAGACUCCUACGGGAGGCAGCAGUGGGGAAUAUUGCACAAUGGGCGCAAGCCUGAUGCAGCGACGCCGCGUGGGGGAUGACGGCCUUCGGGUUGUAAACCUCUUUCAGUAUCGGCGAAGCUCCAGGGUUUUCUUUGGGGUGACGGUAGGUACAGAAGAAGCACCGGCCAACUACGUGCCAGCAGCCGCGGUAAUACGUAGGGUGCGAGCGUUGUCCGGAAUUACUGGGCGUAAAGAGCUCGUAGGUGGUUUGUCACGUUGUCCGUGAAAACUCACAGCUUAACUGUGGGCGUGCGGGCGAUACGGGCAGACUAGAGUACUGUAGGGGAGACUGGAAUUCCUGGUGUAGCGGUGGAAUGCGCAGAUAUCAGGAGGAACACCGGUGGCGAAGGCGGGUCUCUGGGCAGUAACUGGCGCUGAGGAGCGAAAGCGUGGGGAGCGAACAGGAUUAGAUACCCUGGUAGUCG